rnacentral:rRNA from 1 species
ACACGUGGGAAUUUGCCUCGGGGUAUGGAAUAACUCAGGGAAACUUGAGCUAAUACCAUAUAAUGUCUUCGGACCAAAGAUUUAUCGCCCUGAGAUAAGCCCGCGUAGGAUUAGCUAGUUGGUGAGGUAAAGGCUCACCAAGGCGACGAUCCUUAGCUGGUCUGAGAGGAUGAUCAGCCACACUGGGACUGGGACACGGCCCAGACUCCUACGGGAGGCAGCAGUGGGGAAUAUUGGACAAUGGGCGAAAGCCUGAUCCAGCAAUGCCGCGUGAGUGAUGAAGGCCUUCGGGUUGUAAAGCUCUUUUACUCGGGACGAUAAUGACGGUACCGAGAGAAUAAGCCCCGGCUAACUCCGUGCCAGCAGCCGCGGUAAUACGGAGGGGGCUAGCGUUGUUCGGAAUCACUGGGCGUAAAGCGUACGUAGGCGGCUUGUCAAGUCAGGGGUGAAAGCCUGGGGCUCAACCUCAGAACUGCCCUUGAAACUGGCUAGCUUGAACAUAGGAGAGGUGAGUGGAAUUCCGAGUGUAGAGGUGAAAUUCGUAGAUAUCCGGAGGAACACCAGUGGCGAAGGCGACUCACUGGACUAUUGUUGACGCUGAGGUACGAAAGCGUGGGGAGCAAACAGGAUUAGAUACCCUGGUAGUCCACGCCGUANACGAUGGAUGCUAGCUGUCGGGGCUCUUUGAGCUUCGGUGGCGCAGCUAACGCAUUAAGCAUCCCGCCUGGGAAGUACGGUCGCAAGAUUAAAACUCAAAGGAAUUGACGGGGGCCUGCACAAGCGGUGNNNCAUGUGGUUUAAUUCGAAGCAACGCGCAGAACCUUACCAGCUUUUGACAUCCCGGUCGCGGUUAC